rnacentral:rRNA from 1 species
CUGCCUACGGGGCGCAGCAGUAGGGAAUUUUCGGCAAUGGGCGAAAGCCUGACCGAGCAACGCCGCGUGAACGAAGAAGGUCUUCGGAUUGGAAAGUUCUGUUAUAGAGGAAGAAUGGUGUACGAAGGAAAUGGCGUACAAAUGACGGUACUCUGUGAGGAAGCCACGGCUAACUACGUGCGAGCAGCGGCGGGAAUACGUAGGUGUCGAGCGUUAUCCGGAAUCAUUGGGCGUAACGAGGGAGCA